rnacentral:rRNA from 1 species
UACGUAGGUGGCAAGCGUUGUCCGGAUUUACUGGGUGUAAAGGGCGUGUAGCCGGGCUGACAAGUCAGAUGUGAAAUUCCGGGGCUCAACCCCGGACCUGCAUUUGAAACUGUUGGUCUUGAGUAUCGGAGAGGCAGGCGGAAUUCCUAGUGUAGCGGUGAAAUGCGUAGAUAUUAGGAGGAACACCAGUGGCGAAAGCGGCUCUCUGGUCUGUAACUGACGCUGAGGUUCGAAAGCGUGGGUAGCAAACAGG